GUGGUCCGCUUCUCUGCACUAUGUCGGGUGGCCUCCUGAAGGCGCUGCGCAGCGACUCCUACGUGGAGCUGAGCCAGUACCGGGACCAGCACUUCCGGGGUGACAAUGAAGAACAAGAAAAAUUACUGAAGAAAAGCUGUACGUUAUAUGUUGGAAAUCUUUCUUUUUACACAACUGAAGAACAAAUCUAUGAACUCUUCAGCAAAAGUGGUGACAUAAAGAAAAUCAUUAUGGGUCUGGAUAAAAUGAAGAAAACAGCAUGUGGAUUCUGUUUUGUGGAAUAUUACUCACGCGCGGAUGCGGAAAACGCCAUGCGGUACAUAAAUGGAACGCGUCUGGAUGACCGAAUCAUUCGCACAGACUGGGACGCAGGCUUUAAGGAGGGCAGGCAAUACGGCCGUGGGCGAUCUGGGGGCCAGGUAUGCGAGAAGGGUCUCUGGGCUCAGCCAUUGCCUGGGAUUCCAGUCACAAUGACAGGUGUUUUGGCAAUUUGUAUUUACUCUUUUGUAAAUAACUUUGUGUCUAUAACCUUGGCUUGAAGUGGAUCUGAAACCACCCAACGGUUUGGGUGAAUUUUUUUUUUAAACCCUGAAAUGGUAUGUUCUGUACGUUUCUAACAAGCAACCAUUCUUGAACUUCUGCUAGGGCUAGAUAUCUUCCACCUGCAGGAACAUCUAGAAUGAAAGCAAAACGCACUGAAGUGAGUUGAAGUGCGUAUGUCCUGCUUGAAAUGUUCACAUUGUGGCAUCUGAACAGGUUUCACUGUUUGUCUAACAUGUUUGUGGGAGGCAUGUUUGUUACACCAUUCUUUUCCAUACUGUAACUCUGGAUUCUUUCCAUUAAAGGUUCGGGAUGAGUAUCGGCAGGACUACGAUGCUGGGAGAGGAGGCUAUGGAAAACUGGCACAGAACCAGUGAGUGGUGAGAGCUCCGUCAGUGACAAACACUCCUUUGGCCUGUUGAAUUUGUUGAAGAACAUCACCUAAAGUCUGCACACGAGCCCAUUUUGACCAAGAUUUGAUCAGUGUCUUUACUGAGCUGGAAGCCUCUGAAAGUUAUUAAAGGACAGAAUCCAAAAGAAUGCCUUUAAUUCUUG
rnacentral:sRNA from 1 species